AAUGUGAAUGUCAGAAGCACGGAAAGUGUAGGCUUAUGUAAAUUAUCCAGUGAUGUUCGAUUGGCGAAAGAUUAUAAAUAUAAUUGCAACUGAAAAUAAAGUGUUAUUUAAGAUGGAAUUAACAAAAUUUGAAAAGCUUUGAAUCUCAGUAGGAUCUGAAAGAAAGCAUCUUAUUCAUCGGGUCAGAUCCGGAUUUUGGUUUAAGUAUACUAUGAUACUGUGUAACAUGAGUGAAGCAGAAAUCUUGGCCUUGACAGCCAACUUGGGUGCAUCUGUAUAUCAGUCAUUGACCAUCUUUGAUGUGGAGAAGAAAAUUGGCAAGGGUCAGUUCAGUGUAGUAUAUCGUGCUCGUUGCCGAGCGGAUGGCGCAGUUGUUGCGCUUAAGAAGGUGCAGAUAUUUGAAAUGAUGGAUGCCAAAGCACGUCUUGAUUGCAUGAAAGAAAUCAACUUACUGCAGCAACUGAACCACCCAAAUAUAAUAAGAUAUAUCUCAUCAUUCAUUGAAGACAAUGAACUGAAUAUUGUAUUGGAGUUAGCAGAUGCUGGAGACCUGUCUCGUAUGAUCAAACACUUCCGCAAGCAGCGGAGACUCAUCCCAGAACGGACAAUAUGGAAGUACUUUGUGCAGCUAUGUAGUGCUUUGGAGCAUAUGCAUUCCAAGAGAAUAAUGCAUCGAGAUAUAAAGCCAGCAAAUGUGUUCAUCACUGCUCAGGGGGUUGUGAAGCUGGGUGAUCUUGGACUUGGACGGUUUUUCAGCUCAAAGACAACAGCAGCGCAUUCUUUAGUUGGUACGCCUUACUAUAUGAGUCCAGAGCGAAUACAUGAGCAUGGUUACAACUUUAAAAGUGACAUAUGGUCACUUGGCUGCCUGCUUUAUGAGAUGGCUGCUCUACAGUCGCCAUUCUAUGGGGAGAAGAUGAAUCUGUACACUCUCUGCAUGAAGAUAGAGCAAUGUGACUAUCCGCCUCUCCCAGCUGAUAUCUACUCACAAGAGUUACGAGACCUGGUGGGUGCUUGUAUAAAUGCUGAGCCAGCUAGGCGACCUGACAUCAGCUACGUGUAUGGAGUUGCACGUGAGAUGCAUGCCCGCAAUCAGGUAACUGGUAGUGCUGUAUCGAUGGCACAUGAGCACCAGAAGGCCAUGUUCAGACACCAUGAUUGACUGACUCAGAAUGAAGUGUAAUGUGAAUUGAGACAGCAGAUAACCUCAAGUUUUGAACUGUACAACACUGAAGUUGCUCAAGGAAGCAUUAUUUAAACAGUUUCCUACUUCAGAAUAAUUUGAAUGCACGUGUAAAUUUGAAUGCAGCACGUGUGAAAUGAAUUGAAAGUCAGUCAUUCCAUAUCAUGCAUCUACUACGAAUAUGAAGAGAAGGUCAGUGCAUUUUGUGAUAUAACCAGGAAGCUACAAUGUGAAUAGGUGUAUGAUACCAACACUACAGUGGGGCAUUACCACCCAGAUCCUUCCCCAGCAUGCUUCCUUUGUUGGGACCUGGUCUCUGAGAACUGUUCUAGGAGGAACCAUGCCUGAUCACUCGUGUUUCCAUCAUCCUGGUUGCAGCAUGAGUGCCAUGGGUAGCCAUAACCAAAAGGUUACGGCUAAUGAAGCGACUAUCUACCUACUAUCUUUGUGAAUGGGACCUAAUGGCCAUGCACAUUUGUCCUUGCCCCCAGCCCUCUACCUUUCCCAUCCACUCUUUGGGACUGUGUUACCCUGUAACUUUGAAGACCACUUCUGUGCAGGCUUUCGCCCCACAUACAUCUUAGAAAUUCUAGUUCAGCUUUUUCCAUCUAAAUUUGGUUUGGCUUUGGGGUGUUAGCCCUGUGUAGGUGGUCCACCGGUGGGGACGUCCGCUGUGGUAAGUUAUAUUCCUUUACGAAGCUGUGGCUCUGUUGUUCUAUACAGCGGACAUCGCUCUUGUGUUUAUUUUUUUA